GAUCAUGGCUCAGGAUGAACGCUAGCUACAGGCUUAACACAUGCAAGUCGAGGGGCAGCAUGGUCUUAGCUUGCUAAGGCCGAUGGCGACCGGCGCACGGGUGAGUAACGCGUAUCCAACCUGCCUUACACUCUUGGACAGCCUUCUGAAAGGGAGAUUAAUACAAGAUGUUAUCAUGAGUAAGCAUUUUCGUCAUGAUUAAAGGUUUAGGUCCGGUCGUAAGAAUGGGGAGUG
rnacentral:rRNA from 1 species